CCUAACAUAUUCAAAAAAGUAUAAAAUAUUUAAUACGAUAUAUCAUGUGAAUUUCAAUCAAAGGUAAAAUCAAAUUCUUCAUCAGAAUCUUUAAAUUAAAAUAUCAGGAAAAACUAAAAAAGUACUCAUACAUUCACACGAAUAACUUUAAUUUGUGUGUAUGUUCAAAAUAAACAUAUAUUGAAUUGGGCUUGAUCCUUAAGUCUUCUUAAAUUAGUUUUAUUUAUCACAUAAUUUUUUUUGGUCAAGUAGUCUAGUGGCUAGAGCUCACAUAAUUUAAUUGUGGAGAAGUGGGGUGUCCGGGGUUCGAACUCCGACCCCUGCAUAUAACAUGCAAUAUCCCAACCAACUGAGCUAAGCUCACGGGAUAAAUUUAAGUAUUAUCUAGAAUGAAAAGCUACAUAUGUUGAAAAAUCACAAGAUGUGAUAGGUUUGUAUGCAAUUAACAAAAAAAAAGUCAUUGUGUUAAUAAAUGAGUAAAAAUAGGCAAGCAUACAAAUAAAAAAAAUAAAAAAUUUUCCUUGUAUGAAUAUAUGAGUAAAAAUAUAGACAUAACUAUAAAUUACAAAAAAUCAGGCCUUCAUUAUAAUAUAAAUAAAAAUAUUAGCACAUGUAUAAAUUACCAAAAAAAAAAAAAGGCUAUGUUAUAUCUACUAGCGAAAGAACGGACACUCACGUGAAGCUAGUUAAAUAAUUUAGGAGAUAUAUACGUGUAUCUUGAAAUUGUAUGUGGUUGAAAGUAAUAGUAUCUUUUUAAGUCUGUAUCGCUUGCGUGGUAGUGGUAAGCUAGUUAAGCACGGUGGUGGGAAAAGUGACAAUCUCAGCAAAAUCUUUGGAAAGGUGUUUUGAGUGUUUUCUAGUGAUGCAUUAUGUAAAUCGACAAAUCGAGACAUCACGUGGGAUUAAUUAGGAUAUGAAGUUUAAAGACCAAUGGUUCUUAGAAGCUUUUUAAAGACAAUACAAGAUGAAGAAAAUUCAUUUCAACUUCAUAGGAGUUUUCAGACGGAAGAAUGGUAAAAAAAAAUGCAAGACUUAGCACGGGAGGGGCUGCCUCAUGCGCACCUACGCCUCUCUCAUGCGCACAUGCGCAUCUUUGUCGGCAAAAAUUCCCCUUUGCUUGUUUUUCAAGAUGGGUCGAUAGAAAAAACUUAGUUUUUUUCUCUUAAACCCUAAGUAAUCAUUUGUUAUAAAUAGAGACCCUUCACACACUUUUAUUCAUUCAGAAAACUAACGGUUCAAGGCAAGGAUCAAGCAUGAUGUGCUAUGAAUAUUUAAUGAUGAGAAUGUAAUGAGUUAUAGUUGAGUUAGUUAAUGAUUUGUAAAUGAAGCGUUGUUUAACUAAGUGUAAAUUGUGAAGUGAUGUGAUUAAAUGAAAAUGACGAUGAUAUAUGAUGUUGUUACAUGAUGAUGA